UCUUAGUAUUUUGAAGGAAUUUUGCUAAAAUCUACUUUUAAUCUUUUCUUAAAUAUACUUAUAUCAAAUAAUUAUUUUAUUUGCUUUGAUUUGGCUCAUUUAUGGUAAUACAAAGUAAAUAAAAGUCUCUUAUAUAAAAAAUCAACAUUAAGACUAAAGUUUUUAUUACCUUCUUAUUAUUUAUCAUUAUUUUUCUACUAUAUCUUUCUACUAGGCUCAUCUAUAAUAAAAUAAUUUCUUUCUUCUUCCACCUAAUGGUUGUAUUACUACACAACAUCUAUCUCCUCUAUAAUUUAUACAUCCUCUGGCUUGUUUCAAUAAUUCUUAAAUAUGUUGAUGUAUGAGGUUCUUCAUCUUAGUCAAAUUCUUAGUCUUCAAUUUGCUUCUUUACUCCUAUUUUUAUAUCACUUAAUAGAUUUUGUUCUUCAUCAAAAUAUGUCCAUACAUCUCUUUGUCUAAAUAAUUUGACCAACUUGCAUGCUAUAGGUGUCUUCAAUUUUGUUCCAUCAAGUUUCUA
rnacentral:lncRNA from 1 species